rnacentral:tRNA from 1 species
UAAGACCCGCAGGGUACUAACCUGCAUCUUCUGAAUGCAACCCAGAUGCUCUAAUUAAGCUAGGGCCUUA